rnacentral:rRNA from 1 species
GGCCGCGGGAAUUCGAUUAGAGUUUGAUCCUGGCUCAGGCUGUAAACUGGCGGCGUGCUUAACACAUGCAAGUCGAACGGCCUCUUAUUGAAACCUAGUGAUUUAUGAGUUAGUGGCGGACGGGUGAGUAACGCGUGGAUAACCUGCCGUAUACCGCGGGAUAACACUUAGAAAUAGGUGCUAAUACCGCAUAAGCGCACGGCUCCGCAUGGGGCAGUGUGAAAAACUCCGGUGGUAUACGAUGGAUCCGCGCCUGAUUAGCUAGUUGGCGGGGUAACGGCCCACCAAGGCAGCGAUCAGUAGCCGGCCUGAGAGGGUGGACGGCCACAUUGGGACUGAGACACGGCCCAAACUCCUACGGGAGGCAGCAGUGGGGAAUAUUGCACAAUGGGGGAAACCCUGAUGCAGCGACGCCGCGUGAGUGAAGAAGUAUCUCGGUACGUAAAGCUCUAUCAGCAGGGAAGAAAAUGACGGUACCUGACUAAGAAGCCCCGGCUAACUACGUGCCAGCAGCCGCGGUAAUACGUAGGGGGCAAGCGUUAUCCGGAUUUACUGGGUGUAAAGGGAGCGUAGACGGCAGCACAAGUCUGGAGUGAAAUCCCGGAGCUUAACCCCGGAACUGCUUUGGAAACUGUGCGGCUGGAGUGCAGGAGGGGUAAGCGGAAUUCCUAGUGUAGCGGUGAAAUGCGUAGAUAUUAGGAGGAACACCGGUGGCGAAAGCGGCUUACUGGACUGUAACUGACGUUGAGGCUCGAAAGCGUGCGGAGCAAAACAGGAUUAAAUACCCCUGGUAGUCCACGCCGUAAACGAUGAUUACUAGGUGUCGGGGGAUCAAGGUCCUCCGGGGCCGGCGCAAACGCAUUAAUUAUCCCCCUUGGGGAAUACUUUCGCCAGAAUGAAACCCAAGGGAUU